GACGGAGGAUGCAAGCGUUAUCCGGAAUUAUUGGGCGUAAAGCGUCCGUAGGCGGUUUAGAAAGUCAGUUGUUAAAGCCCACAGCUCAACUGUGGAUGGGCAAUUGAAACUACUAGACUAGAGAGUGGUAGGGGUAGAGGGAAUUCCUAGUGUAGCGGUGAAAUGCGUAGAUAUUAGGAAGAACACCAGUGGCGAAGGCGCUCUACUGGGCCAUUACUGACGCUGAUGGACGAAAGCUAGGGGAGCGAAAGGG
rnacentral:rRNA from 1 species